AGGGCAUGAUGAGAACAUUUUCUAAGAAGUUUCCUAAAUCUUUCUCACGAUUCAAAAAUAGAUUCAUCAUCUAACUGGGUAAAAGAAGUAAUGUUGUUUCUAAGUUU